AUUGAACGCUAGCGGCAGGCCUAACACAUGCAAGUCGAACGAGUGGCGGACGGGUGAGUAAUAUAUGGGAACGUGCCCGAUGGAGGGGGAUAACUACUGGAAACAGUGGCUAAUACCGCAUACUAUCGGAUCUGCCCAGAUGGGAUGAGCUAGUAGGUGGGGUAACGGCUAACCUAGGCGACGAUCCCUAGCUGGUCUGAGAGGAUGACCAGCCACACGGGGACGGAGACACGGCCCAGACUCCUACGGGAGGCAGCAGUGGGGAAUAUUGGACAAUGGGGGAAAACCUGAUGCAGCCAUGCCGCGUGUAUGAAGAAGGCCUUCGGGUUGUAAAGUACUUUUGGCAGGGAGGCGUUACCCGCAGAAUAAGCACCGGCUAACUACGUGCCAGCAGCCGCGGUAAUAC
rnacentral:rRNA from 1 species